AUGCCUAUGGGCAAGUGCAGGUCAGCGAGCCACGGUGGCGGUAGAGUUGAGUCCGCUCAAGGCGUUUUAGUGACCUGGAGCAGGGGCGGAGUUGUGGCCACGCGGCGGAGGCGGAAGCAGAGGCGGCUCAGCGGCACAGUCGGAGUGACAAAGCAGGUCCGCGAGGGUGACUUGGCGAUGGUGACUCGAGCAGAGACCGGGGUGACCGGUGCAACUAACAGGGGAACAGCCCGCCGUGAUGCGGUUGCAGCGGAUUGA
rnacentral:rRNA from 1 species